GCUGGGUGUGGUGGUGCACACCCGUAGUCCCAGCUACUCGGUAGGCUGAGGCGAGAGGAUUGCUUGAGCCCAGGAGUUUGAGGCUGCAGUGAGCCGUGAUUGCCACUGCACUCGAGCCUGGCCAACAGAGCAAGACCCUGUCUCAA
rnacentral:SRP_RNA from 1 species